UGGGAGUGCUUGGGGGAGUUGGUGUUCUAAUGAGGUUAAAGGUACACAUGGUGUGGGGGUGUGAAAAAAUCUUGGGAGUGGUUGGGAUGAAUUCACCAAACAUGUUUGUUUUGCAGAUGGGGAUGGCUCUACGAAUAAAUCAUGAUGAUUUAUUGUGCUAGUUGAGUUUGGCUCAACAACCAAACACAACCCUAGGUUACUGAGGCAAAGUGAGAAAGCCUAGAGUGAGAAACUGCAGCUAAAUUAUUCUGUUCAUG